CGAAGGGCGUAGCGUUGUUCGGAAUUACUGGGCGUAAAGCGCACGUAGGCGGAUAUUUAAGUCGGGGUGGAAAUCCCGGGCGUCAACCCCGGAACCUGCCUUCGAUACUGGGUAUCUUGAGUUCGGAAGAGGUGAGUGGAAUUGCGAGUGUAGAGGUGAAAUUCGUAGAUAUUCGCAGGAACACCAGUGGCGAAGGCGGCUCACUGGUCCGAUACUGACGCUGAGGUGCGAAAGCGUGGGGAGCAAACAGGAUU
rnacentral:rRNA from 1 species